CUGUGAAGCAAGCAUUAACUAAUACUGACCCCUUGUGGUCCCCGCUUAACCUUGGUUGGAGGCUUUCAGCUUAGUUUGUCCAGGGAUUCCUGCUCCUGCCCCACUGCAGAAUUAUCAGAAGGUCACCUCAGAAAAGCUGAACCAACAAGAACCUUGGGAGGGAUUUCAGCUUCAGAGAAUGCCCGGUGGCAACCCAAACUAGUUUCCCA
rnacentral:lncRNA from 1 species